GACGAACGCUGGCGGCGUGCCUAACACAUGCAAGUCGCGCGAGAAAGUGGGGGCAACUCCAUGAGUAAAGCGGCGCACGGGUGAGUAAUACGUAGGUAACCUGCCCUCGAGACCGGGAUAACCUUCCGAAAGGAGGGCUAAUACCGGAUAAGACCACGAAGUUUCGGCUUCGGGGUCAAAGGUGGCCUCUGCAUGCAAGCUAUCACUCGAAGAUGGGCCUGCGCACCAUUAGCAGUUGGCGAGGUAACGGCUCACCAAGGCGAAGAUGGUUAGCUGGUCUGAGAGGAUGACCAGCCACACUGGGACUGAGACACGGCCCAGACUCCUACGGGAGGCAGCAGUGGGAAUAUUGACAAUGGGCGCAAGCCUGAUCCAGCCAUG
rnacentral:rRNA from 1 species